rnacentral:rRNA from 1 species
GUGUCAGCAGCCGCGGUAAUACGUAGGGUGCAAGCGUUGUCCGGAUUUAUUGGGCGUAAAGAGCUCGUAGGCGGUUUUGAAAGUCGGGUGUGAAACCUCCAGGCUCAACCUGGAGACGCCACUCGAUACUUCAAUGACUUGAGUUCGGUAGGGGUAAGCGGAAUUCCUGGUGUAGCGGUGAAAUGCGCAGAUAUCAGGAGGAACACCGACGGCGAAGGCAGCUUACUGGGCCGAUACUGACGCUGAGGAGCGAAAGCGUGGGGAGCGAACAGGAUUAGAUACCCUUGUAGUCC